GAUGAAGAACGCAGCGAAAUGCGAUACGUAAUGUGAAUUGCAGAAUUCAGUGAAUCAUCGAGUCUUUGAACGCACAUUGCGCCCCCUGGUAUUCCGGGGGGCAUGCCUGUCCGAGCGUCAUUGCUGCCCUCAGGCACGGCUUGUGUGUUGGGCCCCGCCCCCCGGCUCCCGGGGGGCGGGCCCGAAAGGCAGCGGCGGCACCGCGUCCGGUCCUCGAGCGUAUGGGGCUUCGUCACCCGCUCCGUAGGCCCGGCCGGCGCCCGCCGGCGACCCCCCUCAAUCUUUUCAGGUUGACCUCGGAUCAGGUAGGGAUACCCGCUGAACUUAAGCAUAUCAAUAAGCGGAGGA
rnacentral:misc_RNA from 1 species